CAAAAGGAAACAAGAACUUCUCAUGAUGGUUUUACGUUUAAAAGCAAGCGAAGUCUGCUGUUUAGCCCAGGAAAAGAUAUGCCAGUCUAUAAAUCAGAGAUAACAGCUACAUCAGCACCAUGGUCUGACAAAGAACUCUCAGCUUUUGUUCAGUUCGUGGCACUAUACCAUGAUUCCUCUAAGUCUGUUUGGCCAACACAUAAAGAUAUGGUAUUUUGGGGAAAAUGUGCUGCUGCUAUUGCAGAAUCAACUGGUUUACCAUCAAGAUCAGAAACCGCUUGUCGAUCCAAGAUUUUUAAAUUCUUCAAGCAGAAAUUCAAAACUAUUGAUGAAGCAGAGGAACAUUUCAACAUCCAAUACUUUGACAAUGAUGUCCCACUCAGAAUACCUACAGAAGACACGAAUACAUCCACUCCGAUUUCUGCCUCACAGUAUUAUCACUCAUCAGCAAACUUUUCACCAGUAUUUAAACAUAGUCCCUUCACCGAAAAGCAUUCAAAUGUGAACUCAAGAGGACAAGCAAUGAAGUUGAUUUGUGAAAUGUUUUCUGACCUCACAAAAGUCCAAAGAGCACAGCUCACAACAUGUUUAUAUAACCAAUUCCUAAUAGAUGAAAACAUCCCUCAGUCAUUUGUUCCUAAAGAUUUUCUCCACAUUUCAAUUUCAGC